rnacentral:lncRNA from 1 species
AAGCUAGCAACAUCGUCUCAAAAACAGCUAGGGCUUUUCUAGUUCCUAUUGCUAUAGUAUAUACACACACCAUAUAUAGAUACUCUGCCUGAUAUUUCCAAUGUAGUGUGACAUAAAUGGCUCAAGCAGAUUUAUGUUCUCCUACAGAAGGUAAUGUACCUUGAACUAAAUUAUUUUCAUUUACUGACAACUGGCAACAAGGGAUAUGGGCAUGUAGCAUACCGUGAAAGAAAAUUCUCUUUUUACAUUCCCAUAAGACUAAAAAAAACAUGUGUGGGACCUCUGUUCCCCAGUUCACAGGGCAGACCUUUGGGAAAUAGAGCUGAACACAGACAAAAAUGAGUGCAGGCCCAGGAUAAGAGGCAAAGAUGAUAAUAUAGGUGCAGCCUACUCAAGAGUUAAUCAAAGUACACCACCAAGAAUAAGUCAUUUCAAGAAUUAUCAUCAAUGAACUUGCUUGAACCCAGCCCAGCUGCUGUGUGCAGCUUCAAACAGUUGCUACACUCUCCCUCCCUUGCCUAUCACAACUUUCUGGAAAAUUGUGGAGUAACUGUUACAGCUACAAAGAAAUCUGCCGAAAAGUUGGCACCAAAGCUUUGUCUGAUGUUCAGAGACCUAAGCAACUUUACUGGAUCAAUAAGAAGCACUGAUCCAUUCAGGAAGCCUUUCCUGGACUUCUCCCUUGUGGCAGCUCCAGAGCUUUAACACUCCAGGUGGAGUGGAUCUGGCUCCAGGUAGAGUCUGUCAGUAUUUUCAUCAGAGUAUAUAUCUUUCAUAAACAUGAAAAAGGCAGGUUUAGAAGUACUCAAGAACUCUUAGAAUCAGAUUUCAUUUUAUCACGUUCUUUGCCUAAACCAAUAAAACAAACUUCCCUUAAACUCCUGAUAAUACAUUGGGAAACACUUUUAUUUCUCUGUUGCAAUGCUCUACAAGAAAUUGUAUUAUUUUCUGCUUUUUAAAUACUAUAUGUGUGCCAUUUCCCUUGAAAUAUGUUAAAAAAAAAAAAAAGUAAAGAUGUUUAAAAU